rnacentral:lncRNA from 1 species
AGACAACUCUUGGAAACCUGGUUUUGGCCGUGCCCUUGGAGGAGAGUUAGCUGCUGAGGACUGUUGACUCGACUGUUGACUCGAAGAAUAGAAUGAUGACAUUGAAACUCGACGUUGAAAUUGAGGAAUUGUUGGAGAGGUACUGCCAGAUGUCCGGCGUUGAAAUUGAGGAAUUGUUGGAGAGGUACUGCCAGAUAUCCUCCGAGGAGAUACUGCAGCAGAACAUCGUCUGGGGGAUACACUAGCAGAAGCUAUUUUUGGUGUGUCACUUGGAGUAAGCAGUGGUGUUAUGUAAGGGCUGGAAAACCUUUGCAAAGCGUGCUUUGAAGC